rnacentral:rRNA from 1 species
UACGUAGGGCGCAAGCGUUGUCCGGAACUUAUUGGGCGUAAAGAGCUCGUAGGCGGCUUGUCACGUCGGGUGUGAAAGCCCGGGGCUUAACCCCGGGUCUGCAUUCGAUACGGGCUGGCUGGAGUGUGGUAGGGGAGAUCGGAAUUCCUGGUGUAGCGGUGAAAUGCGCAGAUAUCAGGAGGAACACCGGUGGCGAAGGCGGAUCUCUGGGCCAUUACUGACGCUGAGGAGCGAAAGCGUGGGGAGCGAACAGG